rnacentral:rRNA from 1 species
GCCGCCAACUAGCUCUCUGCAACUCUUAAAUUGUCGCCCACUAAAGCUAAGCUAGGUGUGCGCCCGGCCAGUACCUGGAUGGUAGAUCACAUGGGAAUGCCAGGUUGCUGCUGGAA